AAAAGAGGGAAAAAGAAGCAAAAAUUGACAAAGGCUGCUAAGAGCAAAAAUAUUGUAGAUUAAUUAAAAAUUGAGAGAAAUCUUAUCUUCUAGCUGUUCCCUCAGGAUGAGGAAAAAUAUUCAACGAAUAAUAUAAAAGGAGUCUUUGUUUUACACUAUUUUCAAUGAUUUCAACCAAGAUUUCAACGAAACAAGAAAGUAAACAUGUUCAGUUUGUGUCCUUUAUAAUGCUAUCGAGCAUAGGUUGAGCACGAAUUCACCAAUCAUAGAUUACUCAACAGUCAUCCUCUGUUGCAAUUGGUGCGUUGUAGCGAAAGCGACUUCAAGAGGUUUCUGCUGAAAAUCAGUAGUGCGCAGUAUACGUCAAAUUUUGGCUCGAAACCUCGAAACGUUUGAGACGGCGCGUGUGGUGCGGGCACGUGUGAGGGUAACGUUAAAUAAUUACCCACGCCAACGUUAUUAGUGUGAUACGUUCUGAGAUUUUUGCCCAAGAUUUUCACGUCCUUAUCAAGAACCCAGGAUGUCGAUUGGUGUUCCCAUAAAAGUUCUUCAUGAGGCUGAAGGUCACAUCGUCACGUUGGAGAGCAAUACCGGCGAAGUUUACCGAGGGAAGUUGAUCGAAGCCGAAGACAAUAUGAACUGUCAAAUGUCCAAUAUUACAGUCACCUAUCGAGAUGGGAGAGUCGCCCAACUAGAGAACAUUUACAUCAGAGGGUCCAAAGUUCGGUUUCUUAUCUUACCUGACAUGCUGAAGAAUGCUCCAAUGUUCAAGAACUUCAAGGGCCAAAAAGGACCCACCGGUGGUGCUGGAAGAGGAAAGUCAGCAAUUCUCAGAGCACAAGCGGCUCGAGGCCGCGGCCGAUCGGGCGGCUUCCGCGGCCGAGGCGGCUGGGGCGGAGGUCGGCGGAAGUAGUCGUCUCGUCUCAUCAUCCCCGGCUCGGCAGCGGACCGGCGCCGCCCGCAGGUGGGCGCCCUGUGAGACUCACCGCACCACCGCGGCUCCACUCUGCCACCAACGCGCGCGUCCACUCUGUCUUAUAUUUCAUGUCGCGUCUCAAUACAGAAGUCAUUUGUCACA